UGAGUAACCUGCCCUUAACUCUGGGAUAAGCCUGGGAAACUGGGUCUAAUACCGGAUAUGACUACAUGUCGCAUGGUGUGUGGUGGAAAGUUUUUCGGUGGGGGAUGGGCCCGCGGCCUAUCAGCUUGUUGGUGGGGUNAUGGCCUACCAAGGCGACGACGGGUAGCUGGUCUGAGAGGAUGGCCAGCCACAUUGGGACUGAGACACGGCCCAGACCUCCGUACGGGAGCAG
rnacentral:rRNA from 1 species